rnacentral:rRNA from 1 species
UACGUAGGGUGCGAGCGUUGUCCGGAAUUAUUGGGCGUAAAGCGCACGUAGGCGGUUUGUUAAGUCGGAUGUGAAAUCCCUCGGCUCAACUGAGGAAGUGCAUCCGAAACUGGCAGGCUUGAGUACUAAAGAGGGUCGCGGAAUUCCCGGUGUAGAGGUGAAAUUCGUAGAUAUCGGGAGGAACACCGGUGGCGAAGGCGGCGACCUGGGUAGAUACUGACGCUGAGGUGCGAAAGCGUGGGGAGCAAACAGG